GUCUGUUAGUGAGUGAGUGUGCGUAUCUGUUAGUGAGUGUGUGUGUUAGUGUGUGUGUCUGUUAGUGAGUGUGUCUAUUAGUGUGUGUGUCAGUGAGUGUGUGUUAGUGAGUGUUUGUUAGUGAGUGUGUCUGUCUGUUAGUGAGUGUGUGUGUGUGUCUGUGUCUGUGUCUGACUGUUAGUGUGAGUAUGUUUGCCUGUGAGUGUGUGUCUGCUAGUGAGUGUGUGUGU